GACGCGACCCCAGGUCAGGCGGGACUACCCGCUGAGUUUAA
rnacentral:rRNA from 1 species